rnacentral:rRNA from 1 species
AAAUUUUAAAUAGCCGCGGUAUUUUAACUGUGCUAAGGUAGCAUAAUAAUUAGUCUUUUAAUUGAGGUCUGGAAUGAAUGGUUAGACGAGAAAUUAACUUUAUUUAUUUUAUUUUUUUUUAAUUUUAUUUUUUGGUUAAAAAGCCUAAAUUUUAAAGAGGGACGAUAAGACCCUAUAGAUCUUAAAAAUUACUUUUAUUUUUUUUUUUUUGGUGUUUAUUUUUGAAUAUAAGUAUUUUUUUUAUUGGGGUGAUAACAAAAAUUUUAAACUUUUGUUUAUUUUUACUUUUAUUUAUGGAUUUUUUGAUCUUUUUUUUAUGAUAAUAAGAUAAAGAUACCUUAGGGAUAACAGCGUUAUAAAAUUGGAGAGUUCUUAUUGAUAAUUUUGUUUGCGACCUCGAUGUUGGAUUAAAAUUUUACUGUGGGGUAGGUUUUACAGUGUUU